rnacentral:rRNA from 1 species
GGGGAAUAUUGGACAAUGGGCGAAAGCCUGAUCCAGCCAUGCCGCGUGUGUGAAGAAGGUCUUCGGAUUGUAAAGCACUUUAAGUUGGGAGGAAGGGUUUCUGGCUAAUAUCCAGGAAUUUUGACGUUACCGACAGAAUAAGCACCGGCUAACUUCGUGCCAGCAGCCGCGGUAAUACGAAGGGUGCAAGCGUUAAUCGGAAUUACUGGGCGUAAAGCGCGCGUAGGUGGUUCGUUAAGUUGGAUGUGAAAGCCCCGGGCUCAACCUGGGAACUGCAUCCAAAACUGGCGAGCUAGAGUAUGGCAGAGGGGGAUGGAAUUCCGCGUGUAGCAGUGAAAUGCGUAGAUAUGCGGAGGAACACCGAUGGCGAAGGCAAUCCCCUGGGCCUGCACUGACGCUCAUGCACGAAAGCGUGGGGAGCAAACA